rnacentral:rRNA from 1 species
UGACCUCAACUCAGUCGUGAUUACCCGCU